AUCACUUGGGGAUCUUGAUAAAAUGCAGAUUCUAAUUCAGUGGGUCUGGAGUGGGGCCCAAUAUUCUGCAUUUCUAUAAAGCUCCAAGGUGAUGCCAA
rnacentral:pre_miRNA from 1 species